GAUGAACGCUGGCGGCGUGCCUAAUACAUGCAAGUCGAGCGAACAGACGAGGAGCUUGCUCCUUUGACGUUAGCGGCGGACGGGUGAGUAACACGUGGGUAACCUACCUAUAAGACUGGGAUAACUUCGGGAAACCGGAGCUAAUACCGGAUAAUAUUUCGAACCGCAUGGUUCGAUAGUGAAAGAUGGCUUUGCUAUCACUUAUAGAUGGACCUGCGCCGUAUUAGCUAGUUGGUAAGGUAACGGCUUACCAAGGCAACGAUACGUAGCCGACCUGAGAGGGUGAUCGGCCACACUGGAACUGAGACACGGUCCAGACUCCUACGGGAGGCAGCAGUAGGGAAUCUUCCGCAAUGGGCGAAAGCCUGACGGAGCAACGCCGCGUGAGUGAUGAAGGUCUUCGGAUCGUAAAACUCUGUUAUUAGGGAAGAACAAACGUGUAAGUAACUGUGCACGUCUUGACGGUACCUAAUCAGAAAGCCACGGCUAGCUACGUGCCAGCAGCCGCGGUAAUACGUAGGUGGCAAGCGUUAUCCGGAAUUAUUGGGCGUAAAGCGCGCGUACGCGGUUUUUUAAGUCUGAUGUGAAAGCCCACGGCUCAACCGUGGGAGGGUCAUUGGAAACUGGAAAACUUGAGUGCAGAAGAGGAAAGUGGAAUUCCAUGUGUAGCGGUGAAAUGCGCAGAGAUAUGGAGGAACACCAGUGGCGAAGGCGACUUUCUGGUCUGUAACUGACGCUGAUGUGCGAAAGCGUGGGGAUCAAACAGGAUUAGGUACCCUGGUAGUCCACGCCGUAAACGAUGAGUGCUAAGUGUUAGGGGGUUUCCGCCCCUUAGUGCUGCAGCUAACGCAUUAAGCACUCCGCCUGGGGAGUACGACCGCAAGGUUGAAACUCAAAGGAAUUGACGGGGACCCGCACAAGCGGUGGAGCAUGUGGUUUAAUUCGAAGCAACGCGAAGAACCUUACCAAAUCUUGACAUCCUUUGACCCUUCUAGAGAUAGAAGUUUCCCCUUCGGGGGACAAAGUGACAGGUGGUGCAUGGUUGUCGUCAGCUCGUGUCGUGAGAUGUUGGGUUAAGUCCCGCAACGAGCGCAACCCUUAAGCUUAGUUGCCAUCAUUAAGUUGGGCACUCUAAGUUGACUGCCGGUGACAAACCGGAGGAAGGUGGGGAUGACGUCAAAUCAUCAUGCCCCUUAUGAUUUGGGCUACACACGUGCUACAAUGGACAAUACAAAGGGCAGCGAAACCGCGAGGUCAAGCAAAUCCCAUAAAGUUGUUCUCAGUUCGGAUUGUAGUCUGCAACUCGACUACAUGAAGCUGGAAUCGCUAGUAAUCGUAGAUCAGCAUGCUACGGUGAAUACGUUCCCGGGUCU
rnacentral:rRNA from 1 species